rnacentral:rRNA from 1 species
UACGGAGGGAGCUAGCGUUGUUCGGAAUUACUGGGCGUAAAGCGCGCGUAGGCGGCUUUGUAAGUUAGAGGUGAAAGCCCGGGGCUCAACCCCGGAAUUGCCUUUAAGACUGCAUCGCUUGAAUCCGGGAGAGGUGAGUGGAAUUCCGAGUGUAGAGGUGAAAUGCGCAGAUAUCAGGAGGAACACCUGUGGCGAAAGCGGCGCACUGGACCAUAACUGACGCUGAUGCGCGAAAGCUAGGGGAGCAAACAGG